UACGUAGGCGGAAAAUUAAGUCAGUAGUGAAAUCCUGCAGCUUAACUGUAGAACUGUCAUUGAUACUGGUUUUCUUGAAUUUAGUUGAGGUAGGCGGAAUGUGUAAUGUAGCGGUGAAAUGCUUAGAUAUUACACAGAACACCGAUUGCGAAGGCAGCUUACUAAACUAUGAUUGACGCUGAGGUACGAAAGCGUGGGGAGCGAACAGGAUUAGAUACCCUGGUAGUCC
rnacentral:rRNA from 1 species